rnacentral:rRNA from 1 species
UAUGUGAUCGUCUCUCGCAUAUCAAUAAGCGGAGGAAAAGAAACUAACAAGGAUUCCCCUAGUAACGGCGAGUGAAGCGGGAAGAGCUCAAAUUUGAAAUCUUAAAGGGUUUCCCUUUACGAAUUGUAGUUUAAAGAAGUGUUUUCUGUUGAUGUUUUGGUAAAAGUUCUUCGGAAUAGGACAUCAUAGAGGGUGAGAAUCCCGUAUUCGACCUUUACUUUCAACUUUGUGAUACACUUUCAAAGAGUCGGAUUGUUUGGGAAUGCAGUCCAAAAUGGGUGGUAAAUUUCAUCUAAAGCUAAAUAUUGGCGAGAGACCGAUAGCGAACAAGUACCGUGAGGGAAAGAUGAAAAGAACUUUGAAAAGAGAGUUAAACAGUACGUGAAAUUGUCAAAAGGGAAGCGUUUGACACCAGUGUUGUUUUUCUGAAAAUCAAUUAAAGAACUGUUUAUGCUAAGCUGUUUAGACUUUAUCAGCUAACUGUUUAGUUUUGAGCUUUUCUUUAAUGCACUUUUCAGUUAACAAGUCAACAUCAUUUCUUUUGCUGUAAAAAAGCUUGAGGAAGGUGGCUUGAGAUUCGUCUUAAGUGUUUAUAGCCUCUUGCCUAUGCAGUCGGAGAGAUUGAGGUCUGCAGCGUAGAUCCUUCGGGGCUAAAUGCAUUUGUGCUAAGUUAUAGCAUUUUAUAGACAACUUGUUGACUAUGAUUUGUCUUGUAGCUUACUCGCUUAUGUUAUUUUACCUACGCUUAGGAUGUUGAUAUCGCGCUCUCACUG